UAGCCGUAAACGAUACUCGCUAGGUGUCGGCCACGGUGCGACCGUUGUCGGUGCCGUAGGGAAGCCGUGAAGCGAGCCACCUGGGAAGUACGGCCGCAAGGCUGAAACUUAAAGGAAUUGGCGGGGGAGCACCGCAACGGGAGGAGCGUGCGGUUCAAUUGGAUUCAACGCCGGACAACUCACCAGGAGCGACGGUUACAUGAAGGCCAGGCUGAUGACCUUGCCUGAUUUUUCCGAGAGGAGGUGCAUGGCGUAGUCGUGU
rnacentral:rRNA from 1 species